rnacentral:misc_RNA from 1 species
UCCGUAGGGUGAACCUGCGGAAGGAUCAUUACCGAGUGUAGGGUUCCUAGCGAGCCCAACCUCCCACCCGUGUUUACUGUACCUUAGUUGCUUCGGCGGGCCCGCCAUUCAUGGCCGCCGGGGGCUCUCAGCCCCGGGCCCGCGCCCGCCGGAGACACCACGAACUCUGUCUGAUCUAGUGAAGUCUGAGUUGAUUGUAUCGCAAUCAGUUAAAACUUUCAACAAUGGAUCUCUUGGUUCCGGCAUCGAUGAAGAACGCAGCGAAAUGCGAUAACUAGUGUGAAUUGCAGAAUUCCGUGAAUCAUCGAGUCUUUUGAACGCACAUUGCGCCCCCUGGUAUUCCGGGGGGCAUGCCUGUCCGAGCGUCAUUGCUGCCCAUCAAGCACGGCUUGUGUGUUGGGUCGUCGUCCCCUCUCCGGGGGGGACGGGCCCCAAAGGCAGCGGCGGCACCGCGUCCGAUCCUCGAGCGUAUGGGGCUUUGUCACCCGCUCUGUAGGCCCGGCCGGCGCUUGCCGAACGCAAAUCAAUCUUUUUCCAGGUUGACCUCGGAUCAGGUAGGGAUACCCGCUGAACUUAAGCAUAUCAAUAAGCGGAGAAAACAUGU